CACGGAUGCUUUCGUUCAUGAUGAAAGAGUCAUAUUGUAUAAGGAGGCUCGCGUUCAUCACGAGAGAGCUAUGAGAAAGUUACAUUGUAAAAGGUCUCAACUCAACACAACCCUUGUUUGAAGUUCCUAAAACCUUGAUCUACCCAAGAAAGAUCUCUGGUGGUUACAUGUUAGGUAUGGCUAGUGGUUGGUUAUCGUCAUUUGAGCCUUGUGACACUAGUUCAGUUGACGUUAAUCGUCGUGAAGACGUUGAGGAGGUUGCUAGUAAACGUCGCCUAAACACAUUGUUCAAAAAGCAAUUAUUGUUUAUCAAUCUGAACAUUCAAAUGAAGAACAUCAAUUGGAGCAUGAAUGCAAUUUGCCUUCUAUUCAACCAUACGUUAAGAAAAAAGGUCAAGCACUUUACAUGCUUAAAGAGAGAGACGACGAAAGCAAAUUGAUGCCACAUCUUGAAAAAAUUCCUCAAUUAUUAAAGACCAACAAGACAAAAAUCAACAUGAAUACUUUACAAGUUUUCCAAUAUUUUUUCGAAAGAUUAAGACAUUUUGGAAAAUACGAUCUUGCUUUUGAACUGUUGGAUAAAUUUAAAUCCGAAGAAUCUAGUUAUGACAAAUCUUGGUAUUUUAAUAUUCUCGGUCUUUUAUACUAUGACACCGGGAAAUAUAGCAAAGCUAAAAAUCAUCAUGAAAAAGCUCUGAAAAUUCAAAAACAAUCUUUAGAUCCAAAUCAUGUUGUUAUUGCUGGGUCUUUAAAAAAUCUUGGUUUGGUGUUUUAUGGAACUGGAAAAUACAACAAAGCUCUAGAGGUUCACGAAAAA